rnacentral:rRNA from 1 species
GACGAACCGUGCAAACGUUGUUCGGAAUCACUGGGUUUAAAGGGCGCGUAGGCGGUCUGUUAAGUCGGCGGUGAAAUACUUCAGCUUAACUGGAGAAUUGCCGCUGAAACUGGCAGGCUGGAGGGAGGUAGAGGUGCGUGGAACUUCCGGUGGAGCGGUGAAAUGCGUUGAUAUCGGAAGGAACGCCUGUGGCGAAAGCGACGCACUGGACCUCUUCUGACGCUGAGGCGCGAAAGCUAGGGGAGCGAACGGG